ensembl:lncRNA
CUGAAGGAUUUGGAGAAGCUCCUUCUUUUUCCACUCCCUCACCUCUCUCCUCCCCCAGUUACUCAUGCAAUGGCAGCAACAGUUUGGCUGGAAUGCAGAGUGGAUGUGGAAGAUGUGAAUAUGCUUCUGGAAUUCCAGAGGAGGAGCUGAGCCAAUAAUAUGUCCAACUAUAAUGCAGAACUGUUGUAAUUACUUAGGAACAGUGGGAAUGAUAGCAGAGUAUUGUCAGUAAUCGCACGUCAAAUUCUGCCAUUCCCUAAAAUAGGACAACCACAGAGCAACUCUGCUGGGACCCAUAGGGCUGUGUUGGCUCGGAGGUGGUUGGGAAAGAAGAGAAGGGGCUGAUCUUGGAGUUACCCAAAAGCAGUGGCAAACCAAAGGCAAGGAAACUGCAACUUGAAGAGUCAGACAUCAGAGGACGAAGUUGCCGCAUGUAUCCCAGCACUGCUAAACUUGUGGCUUAGAAACAAGGAUGGAAAUAUUUCUGGACGACACUCAUUUCCCAAUGCUCCGUAGAGACCGCAGAACCUUGCAAAACAGUUCGCAUUCGUCAAUGUUUUAUUCCUAUGACUAAAACCCCGUGGGAUUUAAGUGUGCUUCUCCGUGUUGUCUGGCAAGGAAUUGGGUAAUGAAUGACCACGUUAGGAACCACUUGGCCAGAAAACAGAUGAGAACAACAUUGGUGAGCACUGUCUGAUCAUGAGGAGUGAGAUGAAGGAGGGAGAGAGAUGGAACACCGAUGGUUCAUUGCAGACUUACUUGGGAAACUCUGCAAAGAUGGCACUUUGUGCAUCUUUCUCCUUCACCCAUUUUAUUUCAUUUCUGGGCUGUCAUUUCAGCAACAUCUUUAACAAAUGAAAACCCUCUGCGCAGUCAAUAGUAAUUACAGGAAUUUAUCACAAUUGCCAAUCAAGGUGUGUUGGAAAGACUCAUCUUUCUCGUUUAAAUUAGCCUUCGCUGCGCACAGGCCACAAGUUAUCUUUAGGAAAUCAAUUGUGGGAAAAUUACAGCUUUUGUGGUGUUCUGUGACCUCAGCAGCCAUCACGCAGCUGAGUUCCCUCCCACCCUCCCCCCCCCAGCUGCUUGUGUGGCCUCGUACAGCUGUUUGCUGGGGGGUUUGGACCUCAGCACAAAGCCUGGAAUUGUUCUUCAUGCAUCUGGAGGCAGUGAGGGUGUCAGAUAAAAUGUAGGCAUGAUUCGGGCACUUUUGUAAAUGAACAGGAGGAGAGAAGGCCCUGGUCAGAUUUACACCUUUAUCUGUUUCACUGCUCCGAACCAGGCUGGCAGGAGUUCUGCCUUCGGCAGUGCUGAUGCAGCUCCCAUUGGAAAUGCAGACCAGGCUGACACAGCUCAGGGCAAAAUUCAGCUGUGCGUGGAGCUGCAAACGCCGUCUCCCGGAUGAUUAAUGCACAUUUGUAAGGAGUUUCUUCUCUGCUGAUAAUGCUGCCAUGAGGAAGGAUCUUCAGCUGCUAUAUAUCAGCCUGAGUUCUGACUGUAGGUGAGUACAGGUUUUGGCCAAGUACAUAUGUCAGAGACUAUAUGAGCCACAGACUGACACAGUUGAGAAAUUAAAUUAGAUCAUAAAACAGCCCAGGGACUGCUGACUCCUUCCCUUGACCUGGCUGUGCAUCUGGAAACAAUUCAUCACUCGAGUUUUACAUCUGAGCGUGACCCUUUGGCUGAAGAAGAGUCUGUCCCACGCUUGCUCAUGCAGGCGUGCAGUGAGGCCAGGGCUGCCUGUCAGGCAGCAUGAGAAGGAACCAGUGGGGCCGUGGCAAACAGUUCUGUGAUUCCUCCCUUCAUCUCCACCUGAGACCAAUUUCUGUUGCAAUCGCCAGGAAUUUUUCUGCUGACUUCCUUGGCUUUCAAUGGGAUCUGCUGCUCCUGCACAACCCGUGCUCCCACUUGCACUGAUUGGCUUUUGCUGAGUCUGACACCUACCCUGGCAGGGGAGUGAUCCAUUAAUGAGGCUCAUCAUUCUCCAGGAGCUGCAUGAGCAUCCUUCCCUGCAGCUUUGUGUUCUCCAAGGGCUGUUGAGCCCUCCGAGGUACCCAAAGGACAGCUGCUGAACAAUCCUCUGGUGUCUGGAAGCUCCAACAGGGGCUGCUGCAUCCCCCAUCGUGGUAGCAGAAGUGAAUGCUAAAAGAAAGGAAGGAUUUCCCUUUCUGGGCACAAUACGGAGCUCGGUGUGAAUGGUGGUGGUGGUGGUACAGAAGUACAGGUUGGGCUUCAGCCUGCUGGCACAAGCUGCUGAUGGUUAAAAACUAAAAAGGCUGAAGGAUCAGGAAGGAUAUGGGGUGAAAACCAAAGGGGAGUUUAUGGACAAGUCACUCCUAUCCCUUCGUGUCUGUUCCAGCGGAUAAACCACAUCAGCCCUCAUGAGCUGCCACAGCUGAGGGAGUGAUUUGGAAUUGCAGUGGAGAGGUGCAGAAGGAGUUUGAGGAGCUGUGAUUGAUGGCUGCUGUGGAUGUGGGCUCUGCACUGCUGCUCGUGCGGGAGGGCUGGGGAUGGUUCCUCUUCCCCCUCUGAAAGAGCAACUGCAGACUGUGAUGGUCAUGAAAAGAAUCAGAACAGGGACUGUGUGCGGCACACAGAAAUCACAUCCCUUCUAUUGAACUGGGAUUCGCUCCAGAGAGCCUGUGCGUUCGUGCUUGUGUAUGAACCUGGCAUCAAUUUUGCACAGAUGUGAUCUUAUGGGGAAAAAAAUGAGAUGUUGGAGGUCUUUGUCUGGUUUCUGGCCCUGCUCCAAAAACACUGAAUGAGGCACUGAGAAGCACCAACACCGACUGUAGGGGCAGUUCCACUGAUGGUCUCAGUUUCAAACCUUUGUAUAAUCUGAGCGCUGCUCCCCAUUAAAUCCCAGUACACAUCGAAGCCUUGAUGAUGGAUGUAUUCCAUUCAGCUCUGCUUUAAUGCUCACAGACAGGCUCUGUGGUACCCAUAGCCCGUUAACAGCCUCAGACCCACACUGCCCUCCAGCCCCACAUUAUCCUGCAGCCCCACUGCACGUCUGCUCCCUCAGUUUUAAGCCAUGAGCUUGAAUCUCACACAAUGCCUUUCACAGUAUCUGCACAGGACCCAGUGCUCUAGGUCUUAUUCUCAGCUGGGGCCCUUAAACACCAUCAUACCAUAAAUACUACUGCAAACCUUGACGAUUUCCUCCAAGCCAUAUAAGUACAGAGCAUUCACAGGUCAGGACCAUAAAAUUAUGGCCUCUGUUGGGCAAUUUCUUUCUCGGUUAAUGAGGUAUAAAGCAAACAAGUACUUUUAAAUGGAGUCUGAUAAUCAAAGGAGCUUCAAAGCAGCAAACAGCAGGAGGAACAGUGCUGGGAUGUGCGAUAUUUCACUCAGUUCACUUUGGUCCACACACCAACUCCCCAGGCCCCACAGUGCUCCCACCGUCAGCGUUCCCUGCCUGCAGCCUGGGGGAUGGAGUCUCUUCCUAAUUAAAGGUAGCAAAGCUGCAACGUCCACUGAGCAAAAGCUUUCCAGUUCAGCAGCGUGGAGGUGCGGACAGGCAGGUGAUGUAUCUCUGGAGAUGAAGAGGACUCCACGUUUGUGGAUGGGGAGGGAAGGAUCCCUGGGAUGUGAAAUUAAAAAGCCAGAACAGAAGAGGCCAUGGUUUAAAUUCACCCAUUCCACUUUUGCGAGGUGCUUCACUUCUGUUAAAUAUUCUGAGAGGGGCUGGGAGAUAAAUGGGUCAGGCUUAGCCUUUGUCAGCGCUCUUGCAUCUCUAAAUCUCCACUAUCCUUCCACUGCUGUAAUUGUUUGCUAGGUUCCCGGAUUUUAGGAGGCAUUUCCUGCAUAAAAACCAGCACCUCUCUUCCUCCACUCUGUCUUUUUUUGGUCAAUGGCUGCUAAGGAUGAAAGUUACACCCUCAAAUAGAUGACAUCUCCUCACCCUGAAACACACCCCAACAAAUAUAAAUACAGUGAAGAGUGCUGGGAUGGGGAGAAACCUGGAGGCUGUGGGAGAAGAAGCAGAGAUCGAUGUCCCCUGGUUGGUGGGAAACGACUUCAGAUGUGAGGAUCCACCCCAUAGAGGACCCAUGCUGGAGUGGGGCAAUGCAGGGGAAUGGAACUGGGAAGUUUAAGGGGAUAAGCAGCAGAACAAAGCACUCUCCUCCUUGUAGAUACUGCUGUUAUCCAAAUGCGACUCUUCCAUCUUUUAAGUACUAAAAAGGUCUCCAGUUCUGGAGGAGCACAAAUAAAAGUUGUUUGCUCCCCCAAGCAUCUGCUCUGUGUGCUGGCUUUCUUGGCUUGCUUUAAGUGACUAUCUCCUGCACUUUGUUAAUUACGUGAUUACAGCAUCCACUGACAAUGAGAAAAUUAAAACUCCAUGCCUCCUUUCAGACAACACUUUAUUACUCUGCAAAAGAGGCUGGAUGCAAUUUAGCAAAGCGCUGCGCUGAACAACUGGAAUUGUUCUCUUCCAUAGGUUUCCUCCUCCACUCCCACUGCUUCCCCAGAGACAGCGGUGUUUGCAGAGGCUUAAUAAAGCAGGAAAGAGAGCAGGUGUGAAAGGAAACAUCAAUUACCAUUAGCCCUGACAAUCCUGGACGAUCCCACCCAUGGCGAAGGCGCAAUGACAGUCAAUUCUGUGGUUCUUUCUAUGCAGAUAAGUGAAGUGCUUUCCUUUUCUGGUGAGGGUGAGGCUGGUGAGGGCACUGGGAUGGAGGAAGGUGUGGAUUUCUGUUUGUGAGGUCUGUGCUGUUGUUGUAACUGGACUGAGUUCAGACUUCCACAGGCAAUUCCUCCCCUGAAGACUCUGCAACCUGAACACAUGGGAGAACCAAUGGUUCUGCUGCACAGCACUCAUUAGAGAAGGGGAAUUCAUGGCCAGGUAUUCGAAGGUGCCCAGGAAUGGGUCUUCUGCUGGAGCAAACACUAGAGCCACUAGAGCUGAGCUGAGUUCCAAGUGGUUUCCAAAUACAGAGCGGGUUCUCCUGCUCUGAUGAGCUGCUUGCAGUGCUCAGGGCUCUACGUGCUGUCCCCAAAGGGGCGGCCUGAAGCCUCAGCAGCAGUCCUCAGUGCUGCUUCCUAAUUAGCACCCUCUUCCUCUGACUCGGACAUCUGCUUGCACUGAGUUUCACAGGUUCUUCAAUAGCUAAUGGGUGGUAUUUAUUUCCAUUCCUUUGGUGCCUUAAAUAUAACAAUAAUUCAGUGUAUCUCAUUUUGGGGGAAUGAAAGAUCACCCUUAUUUUCAGCUCAUUUUUUGUGUUUUAUUUCUCUCCCUUUUUUUAUUGAGCUCUGAACAUUAAUAAUCAGCCCUCAUUAACUCAGUUAAUUCUUCAAAUCCUCAUAUUCUUCAUGCCCAGCACCAUAAAGCCAAAGAAGGGACUAAUGAAAGCUGAAGAGAUGGUUAGAGUUAUUAAAAAUCAAUUUUUUUUGUAUCUGGUAACCCUGGGGUGUUAAUAUUCUCAUCUCAUGUCUUCUCAGCCUCAUUCCUCCCACAGGAACUCUGGGUUUGCAGAGCGCAGGAGGACCUCAGUGCAGGAUAUUCAGGAGCCCUUUGGUUUUGAGGCCGUCCCAUGAUGUUACAGCACAUCUCCUGGGGGAGUUCUGAGGUCUCUGCAGUGCAGGAAGGAGAGUUUUGCAGUCCUGAAGACGGUCGUGCACUGCUGAGCACUGCAAUCAGCAUUAGAGGAGGGCAGGGUGAGGGUUGUGCAGGCACUGUUCCCUCUUGCGCAGGCAGAGCGCUGCUGGUAAGGGGCUGGGAGCAGCCUGAGCUCUGCCCUUCAGCUCAGAUUAGCGAUAAUGGAAAAUGCAGAACAUUAAACAGCGGCGUGAUUGCAUUGCGGAGGAGGACUGGCAAAUGGGUUCGUCCUGAUGCAAGGGUGUGAAAAAGGGGUCGCCGAGCUGAGUUUACUUCAGGCUUAAGAAGCGAGAGAAAUGUUUUUCAGGUUUUGCAACAAUUCAUUCCUGUCUUGUUUUUGAUCUGACUUCAUUCCCUCAGCGUGCCUCUCCUUUCAGCAGUGUCUUUAAUUCAUGAAUUCAUCUGCACGUCUUGUUUUCCUGAAUUACCCUUCCCAUUUCCUUUACUGGGGUGAAUCCGAAUGUCCCCCUCCAAACCAAAUGCUGCCCAUUGGAACACAGUCCUUGGUGCAGAGAUCCCUGUUGCUGUGGCAGGGCAGGGCUGCUGAGGAGGGAGGGAGGAGAAGGGGAGCAGCAGAGCCAGCAGAGCUGGUGAUGUGCAGCUGCAGAGCUCCCGCUGGGCACUGCCGGGCUGAGACUGGGCACCAUGGCAACCAGGAUGAUGCUCCUUGGAGUCCCUGAUCUGCUAAAUGGGUGGCAAUCUCGUUAUGAAAGGUGGAGAAAGGUGGUUUUUUCCCCAGCAUUUUCCUCCCCCUAAUGUUGACAAUGCACCAAGAGGAACAAAACACGCUUCUGGAGCACUCAGACCCACUGCCGUGGGAUGGGGUGGUGGUGUGGGUGGCCAUGCUGCUGAGCUGUGUUCCCUUCAGAGCAUCACUGCCUCCUGUGCUCACCCAGCGGGCGGCUCUCAGGGGGAUCCCAUUGUGUAUGCUGCCCGGGUUCCUGCGGGAUUCGCUUUUAAAUCUCUUUUUCAAACAGAUAAUUAAAACAUAAUGGUGUUUACAUUACAGAUGGAGCUGAGAGAAAAAUAAUAAUAGUAAUAAUAAUCGUAAUAAACACUACUUUGCCACUCAGGGGAGUUUGUCAAAUGACUCUUACAGAGGCUUGGCGCACUUUAAUGAGUCUAAAGAAGAGGAUUUACGCUGAACUAACUCACUCCAUGGCGCACACGUGGCGGUGGGAUGAGGGAGCUCUCCGCAGUGCUGAACCUGCAGCAGGACGACAUGGAAGAAAAUAAAGGAAACGUGGGGCCGGAGCUGUGAGCUGUAGCUGCAGGAGGAGGGGGAAAGGACCAAAGGAAGGACCUGGUUCAAUCAACCCAAACAGCCCAUUUGGGUCUCUAGUAGACAGGAGAUUGACUGCGUGCUUCCCUCACUCUGGAGGCACUGAUGGAUACCCUCUGGAUGCACCCCCUGAGCAUUCCAUCCCCUCCAUCGUUGCACUCCUCUGGUGUGUUUUUGUCACCCAUUUGGGCCACUUAAUUACAUUCCCUUUUCUUUUGGAAAAAGCUGAUGUGUAAUUAUUUCCAUGAUUAACACUCUUGUGCAGCUAAUUGUAAUUACACCUUAUAAUCACAGUUACGAUCGUCAAUUACUCAUCUUUGCCUCAUUUCAGUGUUUUUCUUUAUCUGAGUUUCUGGAAGUUAUCCUCACCCAAUACACACACACAACAAACUGCCUCAGCUUUCCAAACUUCUCUGUCUUCCUCCGGGGGGAUUAAUCUGAGGCCGCAGUAAAGGCCGCAUCAUUGGCUGCUGUAAAUCAUGGCAGCUUCACUCGUGCCAAUGCAACAGUGCUCUGCAGCAGCCAGGAUGUCAGACAUCUCACUAAGAAAGCAAUGCCAUCUGAGAAGAUAUAUCUGCCUCCAAGUCAUUUUUUAUGUAUUUUCCACAUAUUGAGUAAUGCGUAUUUCUCCUUUUUGUAUCUCUAACCCUUUGUAUAUCUUAG